AUGGGGCGGUCGCCGUGCUGCGACGGGGAGGCGGGCGUGAAGAAGGGCCCGUGGACGCCCGAGGAGGACAAGCUGCUGGUGGACUACAUCCAGGAGAAGGGCCACGGCAGCUGGCGCCGCCUGCCCAAGCUCGCCGGCCUCAACCGCUGCGGCAAGAGCUGCCGCCUCCGCUGGACCAACUACCUCCGCCCCGACAUCAAGCGCGGCCGCUUCACCGAAGACGAGGAGAAGCUCAUCAUCCACCUCCACUCCCUCCUCGGCAACAAGUGGUCGUCGAUUGCUACGAAGCUGCCGGGGAGGACGGACAACGAGAUCAAGAACUACUGGAACACGCACCUGCGCAAGAAGCUGCUCGGCAUGGGCAUCGACCCCGUCACGCACCGCCCGCGCACCGACCUCAGCCUGCUCGCCGGGCUCCCGGGCCUCCUCGCGGCAGCCGGUAACUUCGGCGGCGCCGGCUCGGCCACGGGCGCUUGGGACAUGAACGCGCUCAGGCUGCAGGCCGACGCCGCCAAGUUCCAGCUGCUUCAGGGGCUCGUGCGCGCGCUCACCACCGCCGCCGUGCCCGCGCUCGCGCCCGGCAUGGACAACCUCAUGGCACUCCUCGCCGCCAGUAACGGCGGGCAGAACGGCGCCGGCGGAGUCGACCAGAGCAUGCUGCUGCAGCAGUGCCAGUGGGACGGCAUGAAUAACCUACCGGCGCUGACCAACUCCGCGCCGGCGAGCGGCAUGCACAACAUCAGCGGCAUGUUCGACAGCUUCGGCGCCGGGGACGGGCUGAGCUCGACGGAGCUCGGGUGCCACGGCGGGGCGAGCGGGAGCAACGUGACCGUGGACGCGGUGGCGCCACCGCGCCCAAUGGUGGCCAACGACCGGGACUGCAACAACAAUGGCGGCGGCGGUGUGUCGUGCGAGCAGACGCCGGCGUCGAGCCCGUUCGACGGGCUGGAGAGCCUGAACCUGAUGGAUGACCUCAACACGGACGGUAGCUGGAAGGAUUUGCUAGACCAAAUGUCAUGGCUGAACUCAAGUGAGCUGUGA
rnacentral:rRNA from 1 species